rnacentral:rRNA from 1 species
UACGGAGGGGGCUAGCGUUGUUCGGAAUUACUGGGCGUAAAGCGCGCGUAGGCGGACCUGCAAGUCGGGGGUGAAAGCCCGAGGCUCAACCUCGGAACUGCCUUCGAUACUGCGGGUCUCGAGUCCGAGAGAGGUGAGUGGAAUUCCUAGUGUAGAGGUGAAAAUUCGUAGAUAUUAGGAAGAACAACCAGUGGCGAAGGCGGCUCGACUGGCUCGGUACUGACGCUGAGGCGCGAAAGCGUG